rnacentral:RNase_P_RNA from 1 species
GGCUUGUCGCUGCUCUGCUUGCGUUCUUUCAGGAGCAAAACAGAGGAGAGGAAAGUCCGGGCAACACAGGGCAUCUCGCUUCCUAACGGGAAGAGGCUCGCGAGGGUCUGUCUGUGCAGAAGAAAACAACCGCCCUUUGAAAUGUUGAAACCUCAAACAGUUGAAACGUUAAAAGGGGUAAGGGUGAGAAGGUGAGGUAAGAGCUCACCAGGUCGGCAGUGAUGUCGAUGCUGUGCACACCGAGAGUUGAAAGUUCAUGUAAACCCGCGCAUUUGUCCCGAGCUUGGCGAAGGAUAACGAGAGGGCGGCCCGUCCGAGCGGGAGGGUAGAACGAUAGAGGACAGCGGCGACGCUGUCAGUAGAUAAAUGACAGGCAUUCCUUAAACGGAACACAGAACCCGGCUUACAGGUUCACUGA